rnacentral:rRNA from 1 species
UAGCGUAGGGUGCAAGCGUUAAUCGGAAUUACUGGGCGUAAAGCGUGCGCAGGCGGUCAUGCAAGACAGAUGUGAAAUCCCCGGGCUCAACCUGGGAACUGCAUUUGUGACUGCAUGGCUGGAGUGCGGCAGAGGGGGAUGGAAUUCCGCGUGUAGCAGUGAAAUGCGUAGAUAUGCGGAGGAACACCGAUGGCGAAGGCAAUCCCCUGGGCCUGCACUGACGCUCGAUGCACGAAAGCGUGGGGAGCAAACAGG